AUUGAACGCUGGCGGCAUGCCUUACACAUGCAAGUCGAACGGUAACGGGCCUUCGGGUGCCGACGAGUGGCGAACGGGUGAGUAAUACAUCGGAACGUGCCCGAUCGUGGGGGAUAACGAGGCGAAAGCUUUGCUAAUACCGCAUACGAUCUACGGAUGAAAGCCGGGGACCGCAAGGCCUUGCGCGGACGGAGCGGCCGAUGGCAGAUUAGGUAGUUGGUGGGUUAAAAGCUUACCAAGCCGACGAUCUGUAGCUGGUCUGAGAGGAUGAUCAGCCACACUGGGACUGAGACACGGCCCAGACUCCUACGGGAGGCAGCAGUGGGGAAUCUUGGACAAUGGGCGCAAGCCUGAUCCAGCCAUGCCGCGUGAAGGAUGAAGGCCUUCGGGUUGUAAACUGCUUUUGUACGGAACGAAAAGACUUCUUUUAAUACAGGAGGGUCAUGACGGUACCGUAAGAAUAAGCACCGGCUAACUACGUG
rnacentral:rRNA from 1 species